AACCCAUGAUGUGGGCACCAGUUAAGAAGGUCCUUGAACCAUUCAUGUGCUUUAAAUAGUUUUUCAUACUCUCCUUGCUUGAAUGUUGAGAUUUCCUGUCUUAUCUU